GAAAUGCGAUAAGUAAUGUGAAUUGCAGAAUUCAGUGAAUCAUCGAAUCUUCGAACGUACCUUGCGCUCCUUGGUAUUCCUUGGAGCAUGCCUGUUUGAGUAUCAUGAAAUCUUCAAAGUAAAUCUUUUGUUAACUCAAUUGGUUUCUACUUUGGUAUUGGAGGUCUUUGCAGCUUCACACCUGCUCCUCUUUGUUCAUUAGCUGGAUCUCAGUGUUAUGCUUGGUUCCACUCGGCGUGAUAAGUUAUCUAUCGCUGAGGACACUGUAAAAGGUGGCCAAGGUAAAUGCAGAUGAACCGCUUCUAAUAGUCCAUUGACUUGGACAAUACUUUUAUGAUCUGAUCUCAAAUCAGGUAGGACUACCCGCUGAACUUAAGC
rnacentral:misc_RNA from 1 species